rnacentral:rRNA from 2 species
AUGAACGCUGGCGGCGUGCUUAACACAUGCAAGUCGAACGAUGAUCCCAGCUUGCUGGGGGAUUAGUGGCGAACGGGUGAGUAACACGUGAGUAACCUGCCCUUGACUCUGGGAUAAGCCUGGGAAACUGGGUCUAAUACCGGAUACGACCAUCUGGCGCAUGUCAUGGUGGUGGAAAGCUUUUUUGUGGUUUUGGAUGGACUCGCGGCCUAUCAGCUUGUUGGUGGGGUAAUGGCCUACCAAGGCGACGACGGGUAGCCG